AGGCUGCAACUCGCCUACACGAAGCUGGAAUCGCUAGUAAUCGCGGAUCAGCACGCCGCGGUGAAUACGUUCCCGGGCCUUGUACACACCGCCCGUCACACCAUGAGAGUCUGCAACACCCAAGCCGGUGGGAUAACCUUUAUAGGAGUCAGCCGUCUAAGGUAGGACAGAUGAUUAGGGUGAAGUCGUAACAAGGUACC
rnacentral:rRNA from 1 species